rnacentral:tRNA from 2 species
GGGGUCUUAGCUCAGCUGGGAGAGCAUCUGCCUUACAAGCAGAGGGUCACAGGUUCGAGCCCUGUAGGUCCCA